rnacentral:rRNA from 1 species
UACGGGGGGGGCAAGCGUUGUUCGGAAUUACUGGGCGUAAAGGGCUCGUAGGCGGCCAACUAAGUCAGACGUGAAAUCCCUCGGCUUAACCGGGGAACUGCAUCUGAUACUGGAUGGCUUGAGAUUGGGAGAGGGAUGCGGAAUUCCAGGUGUAGCGGUGAAAUGCGUAGAUAUCUGGAGGAACACCGGUGGCGAAGGCGGCAUCCUGGACCAACACUGACGCUGAGUGAGCGAAAGCCAGGGGAGCAAACGGG